rnacentral:piRNA from 1 species
GCCAUGGGAAGGUAGAACUCUGCUUUCUUG